AUACGUAGGUGACAAGCGUUAUCCGGAUUUACUGGGUGUAAAGGGCGUGUAGGCGGUUUAGCAAGUCAGAAGUGAAAUUCCCGGGCUUAACUUGGGCGCUGCUUCUGAAACUGCUUUACUUGAGUGCUGGAGAGGAUAGUGGAAUUCCUAGUGUAGCGGUAAAAUGCGCAGAUAUUAGGAGGAACACCGGUGGCGAAGGCGGCUAUCUGGACAGUAACUGACGCUGAGGCGCGAAAGCACGGGGAGCAAACAGGAUUAGAUACCCUGGUAGUCCGUGCCGUAAACGAUGAAUACUAGGUGUAGGGGGUAUCGACUCCCUCUGUGCCGCAGUUAACACAUU
rnacentral:rRNA from 1 species